GUGAAGCUGGUAAGUAAUUGGGCUAAAUAAGAAUUUUCCCCAGGUGAAAAUGGGGACCCGAACUGAAAAUGGAGGAAACCCACCUCCUGAGUCUUUGGUGAAAGAGUGAAGCUAUAUUCCAGACUACGACUUUAUGACCUUUCUAUCACUUGGUAAGGAGUGAUCCCAAAAAGUGGUGUGAUCCUUGCAAGUGAGUAAGAUGCCUGCCUUCCUGGAGGCCCGGAGAAAUUGAGGGAGGGAAAGCGUCCUUCAAGAUGCGGAAGACGAAGAAACGGAAAUGAGCCGAAGUUAUCUUUGCUGCGAAGCUGAUUUCCACAAAUGCCUGCUUCAGGGACCCUCACUUGCAGAGGCCGCUCAGGAGCUGAAUCACGCAAGGCAGUGGGACUAGGAAUCCCUUUUAAAGUUUCUCUAAAUCACUUAAAGUCAUCUAUCCUUCGUCAUGAGAAGAUACCUGUUGGAACAGAAGUAAAGCCGCUCUUGACCCAGGAAGGGUUAAUAAUCACUGGAAAAGGCUUGCCAGCAAACUGUGACCCGGAGGUGAGAAGGCCGGUUAGCCAAUGACAGAAAGUGGCUGUCUAUGCUGUAAAGAUAGAGAUUUUGUUUCUAUGGAACUGAGAUUCAAGGGUGUCACAUAUGGUAAAUAGAACAUGUAUUUCAAAGUCUAAUUUGUGUGUUCAAAAUCAACUGAAUAUACGUCAAAUCUGUGUAAGAAACAAGUGAAUUCAUAUGCAAUUAUAAUUUGAUAGAAUCUAUAUGAAUAAGAUCAGAUCCUCUGUAAACGGCAAGCUUAGGAGUUUUGUACUAUUAGCUGUAAGAGCCAAGUUGUUUUGGUGAUUUUAAUGGUCUUUAGCUCAUUUUGAGAAAAUAACACUUAGCAUCUUGUUCCACACUGUACCUCUAAUGCAUGUGAAGAUCAAGAGCGUAAAUAUCCAUUUCAUUGAUUUUUUAAUUAAUUUGGUAUUAUUUUUGUUAUUUUCUCUACAUAGGUCACUGAGUUGCCAUAGCCAAUGGAAUUUUUCAGGUUGCAAAGGGCUUAUCACAAUUUUAUAUCUUUACUUUCUUGUAUUUAUUUCUAGUACUUGGGAAAACUAGUUUAAUAUGGACUGCAUGUGAUGUGGCUCUGGUCAUGGCCUAUGAGGGAACAAAAAAAUAUAUAAAGGCAAUAUUUGGAAAAAGGGGAGAGAAAAAGUGGAAAAAUAUUUGACCCCUAUAAGGAAUAGUAAAAGUAUAACCAUCAGGAACUCUAAAUGUUUGGAAAGAAUAAAAUCAUAUAGAUCUGAAAAUGUGGACAUGAGAAAAAGUGCUAAUCUCAAGCAUAUUCAUGUAAAGUAAAGGUAUAGGCUCUUACAGUGCCUCAUGCUGAGCUAGUUAUGUAUGACCAUGUAUACAUUUAAGUUGAUUUAUUAAACCAAUUUCUUUAUCACUUCGUAAUAGCACACAAUAGUGGCAUUUUGAUGCAUCAUGCCUCUUCAGGGUAGCAACCUGAUGCUAGGCUCUAUCUUCACAGUGGAUUUUUCCCUGAUCAGAGUAAUCUUUGCACUUAAUGAAUUUCUCUUAUAACUGUCCUGUCUCAUGACAUGAAUAAGAGUUUAUGCUAUUUUAUGGUUUUCCACCAAGAUCCUUUUUAACCUUCCUUAUUGCAAAAGUACUUAUCUUGAGGAGUCAAAAUGGAAAAAAAGGAACCCUACAAAUUAUCUUGGAUAUUACAAUGUUGGAGGAGAGGCUGAUGUAAUAUAUCUCAGUGUUCCUUUCUUUGUGGUGGACAAAUACUAUUAACUUCCAUUCUGUGGAUAGGAAAAAAAAAGUUCUGGAUUAUUGCUGUCAUUUUGUUUAAAAACAUAAUAUUCCAUGGGCCAUUAAGAAAUUGAGAAAUGCUGUCUUUUAUUUCCUUGCUGUGUUUAAGAGAAGGAUAUGAUAGAUCCAUUAAGGGAAGACUAUCAUAAUAAUAAUCAUAACCAUAAUCAUAAGUGACCAUCUUUGUAAAGUGAUUUAUUAUUGACUAAGAUUUUAUCUACAUGCUUGCAUUUACUGUUACUGGCAGGUGGAUAUAGUAAUGACCACAAAGCCUGAUGUCGUCUCUGGGAGUUGAAUUUUAUCUUAUAUAAAUGUCUAAGUAGUAUAUCUAUGUCUCAAGAUGUUUUGGUAAAAUUACACUUUUGUUCCUCUCUCACAACAUUAAUUUGAUGCUUUCAAUGUUUUCUUUUGUAUGCUUUAUUUAAUUUCCCUAAAUACUUUGAGGGUAUUUAUUGCCUUAUUAAUAUUAUCUCUGCAUCAGUUUGUCCAGUGUCUAAAGGAUUGUUGGUGCUUAACAAAUAUGUAUUGAAUUUAAUUUAACUGAGUAGUAGCAUUUUCUUUGAGGGUAAGAUUUUGGAUAAUUUGAUGAGAAAAGCUUCGUAUUAAUUUCUCUUUGGAGGGGAGGGUCUCCAUUGGUAAAUUUUAUGAGAGUUUAAGGGAGGUAUUCAAUUGCCUAAAUCAGCUGAGAAAAUAGUAUCUAAAAUGAAUUAUUUUGUGUGGCAAGGACUCCCUAAAUAAAUAAGAAGAAAUUUGUUUUUUUCUUAUUUUUCUCCUUUAGAUAGCCACAUGAAGUGAACAAGGGGCCUCUCAUAAACUAUUCCAAUAGAGAAAAAGCCUAAUACUUUGAAAUAGUCUUUAGCCAGUGAAGCAUUCUUGCAACACAGGCAUCCUUCUGAGAAGAAUAAAGUAUUGCUUUCAAGUGGGUUAAUGAGGUCAACUGGCAUUUAUAAUAUGCUAAGUCAAAUCAUUCUUUUCAACACUCUUUGCUAACUCCAGAAUUUAAUUUUCAUUCAACUCUAAAAAUUUAACCACAUCAACUUGAGAUCUUAACCCUUCCUCAAAGAAAGAUGCUGUUAAUAAUGACUUUUCUAAAUAAAAUUGCUCAGGUUUAUCCUGAGACAUAUGUCAGUGGUGAUGCUGAGGUAUUAUAUACGUAUGCACACACACAUAUGUAAUAAGUUUGUGAAAAUAUAAAACAAAAUCAUACUGAUAAUGGUGAUUAGAUAUGCUUUUUAAUGGUAUUUUGUAUGAUCACUCACCAGUUGGUGCAUUGUCUGGACAGGCUCACAAGGCUUUUAAUGGAAGUGAAAAAUGUCCUCCCUAAAACAUGAGCCUACCCCUAAGGAAGUAAAAUGAAUCUCAGUAUACACAAGAGUGGUUCAGCAAAUGCAGUAUCUGUACACUGUGUGGCUGGGAGGCCAUGUUUUACCAAAGUGUGUUCUCAUCACAUUGAGCACUGUUUUAAAGUUAGUGAUAACAACAGCAAUAACAAAAU
rnacentral:lncRNA from 1 species